ACUAUUUUGGCAGAGAAGUGCAGUGGAUUUAGAAUCUUCUAAUAUAAAUUUAUUUUAUAUGUAGUA